rnacentral:tRNA from 1 species
GAGGGUAUAGCUCAAUGGUAGAGCACAUGCUUAGCAUGCAUGAAGUCCUGGGUUCAAUCCCCAGUAUCUCCA